rnacentral:rRNA from 1 species
UACGUAGGGGGCAAGCGUUAUCCGGAUUUACUGGGUGUAAAGGGAGCGUAGACGGCGAUGCAAGUCUGAAGUGAAAGGCGGGGGCCCAACCCCCGGACUGCUUUGGAAACUGUAUGGCUGGAGUGCAGGAGAGGUAAGUGGAAUUCCUAGUGUAGCGGUGAAAUGCGUAGAUAUUAGGAGGAACACCGGUGGCGAAGGCGGCUUACUGGACUGUAACUGACGUUGAGGCUCGAAAGCGUGGGGAGCAAACAGG